UUCUAGAUCAUUUCUUGCCUAACUUUUUUUUUUUCCUGAAGAAAUGUUGUUCCAGGGAGUGUCUGACUAGUUCUGCAGCUUGGCAAAAAAGCCAGACGUUACCUCAUAGCUGCGGCCAGACAGCCCAUUUCUAUGCCAAGCAACCGCUGCAGGAGCACACAGCACAGGGCCCUGCUUGAUUAGCACUUCUGCUGUUUCAAGAGUCCUGGAGUGUUUUGUUCAAGGUGGGCUGCUGAGUGGGUACUCUGUGUUCUUUUGUGCAAAUGUGCUUGCAGGCAGGGGGAGGCUUGGGAGGAGGUAGAGUUGGAGGGGGGACCAGGACACAAUAGAAGAGGGCUACAUUAAUAUUCUGCAUUCAUGUUAUCGUUGGGAAACAGGAUCUGUUUGUGGUGACCUGUGCAAAAAGCACACGUAGGACUGCAUCCUAAAGGUCAAAGCAAAUGAAAGAGAUGGGAAAACAAAGAGUUGUAAUGACAGAUCAGGUCAAACUGAAUUAAAUGCUUAAUUGUUUCCCUUGUGCCUCAGCAAAUGGCUUUCUUUAAAGCCACGGGGAUCUUUUCUUUUCAGCGAAAAUCAUCAAUUCAUCAGUGCGCUGGAAGAUGAAGAGUGUUUGCAAACAUUGCUGCCAAUAUAAUUUUCCUGUCUUCUGCCCCUUCCUGUUGCUUUACCUAGUGUACCUGUGUCUACACACUUUAUAAUUUAUGGGCCAAAUUCAGACCUGGGGUAAUCCCAUAGAAUUACACCUGCCUACACAUACUGAAUCUGGCCCCAUCUAUGUGCUUAACACCGUUUUUGGUUCAUUGUGUUGCUCACAAAAGUGAAGGACAAAUAGCACAAGCAUGGAGUAGGCUAAAGCUGUCCACCACACAGCUCUGCCAAGGCCCCUCCGUUCUAGACUGCAACACCCCCUGCUGUCACUGUCUCAGACUGACCUCUCCCAACGUACUUGACAUCGCUAGUCAUGCUGGCCUUGUGCCAGACUGGGCAGGGUUUGUAAAGCAGAUGAGAGAUCGACUCUCACACUUAUUUUACCUGGGCCUCAGUGUAGAGAAAUGGAAAAAUAGUGUCAUUGGCUCACUGCGCCACACAUUGACUUAUUUUCUCUAGAUGCAAAUAACAUUGGAUCCUGCUUUCCGCUUGGACGAAAUAAAACAGAAAAUGUUUUACGUCAGAAUCUUGCCAAUGGGGUAAUAAGUAACAAUAACAAUAAUAAUAAUUAAUUAAUAAACGUUUGCGUUUUUGUCUGGGGAUCUCAAUGCAUUUUACAAAAUCAGUAAAUUUAGCCUCACACAGCCUCUAUGAAUUUGGUUGGUAUCUUUCGACCCAUUUUACAGAUGUGGAAACUGAGGGAUGGAGAGGUAAAGUGACUUGGCCAGCGUCACCUAGGAAAUCAGUGGCAGGGACAAGAAUUCUAUAACUCCUGACUCCUGGUCCUGUGUUUUAAUCACAAGGCCUCACUUCCUCGUGUAAGAGGAAUGAAUCAACUCCAGUUCAAUAAGAAUCCUCUUCAGUCUUCAACCAAACCUGAAUCUUUUCUUUGUGAAUGUGGAUUAGUUUAUUGUCUUGUGCACCUCUGCUCUGCUGGGUUCUAGCUGACAAGUGCAAGUUAAAACACCUGGUUGAAAGGUCACAAUCCAACAAAAUGCAUUUUUGGUACAGCCAAAUGCAAGGUAAUACACCUGGGAACAAAGAAUGCAGGUUAUAACUAGAGGAUGAGUGACUCUGUCGUGGAAAGCAGUGACUCAGAAAAGGAAUGAGGGAUUGUCAUAGCUAAUCACCUCCUCGUGAGCACAAGGCUGUGGCAAAAGGAGCUGAUUGGUUGUUGAAUGUAUAAAAAGGGAACUAUCUAAUACAGUUAGGGAAAUUAUCUUGGCUCUGUACACUGCAUAGGUAAGACUGCUACUAGAAUACUAUGUCCAGUUCUGGUGUCCACAUUUCAAGAAGGAUGUGGAAAUAUUGGAGAGAGUUCAAAGGAGGGCCACAAAAUGAUCCAAGGGCUAGACAACAAGCUUUAUGAUGGGAGGCUUAGGGACCUCAAUCUAGUCAGUUUAUUGAAGAGAAGGAUGAGAAGUUGAUCAUUGUUUAUAGGUACUUACGCAUGGACAAGGUAUCUGAUAGAAUGGGUCUGGGGGUGCAGGGUGGUUCAGUCUUACAGACAAAGGUAUAACCAGAAGCAAUGGCUGGAAGUUGAAGUUAGAUAAAUUCAACCUUGAAAUAAGACACCAUUUCCUAGCAGUGAGGGUAAUUAAACAUUGGACCGGCUUAUCAUGGGCGGUGGGGCCUCAGCAGCCGUCUUGUUGAGUGUUUAAAAUGUGAUAAGCUAUCUUUCUAAAAGACAAGCUGUAAUCUAGCUUCUGAGAGAAAUUCUUCAGCCUGUGUGUUCGGGGGGAUGGGUGAGUGCUCUUGGAUGGUCAUGGUAGUUCCUUCUGGCCAUGGAGUUUGUGCAUCUGUGAAUGCCCCUGUUCAUUCCCUUCCUUUAUGGGCCGGGGGAGAACAAGAUGGCCUGCAUUGCCCUCAACAUGCUCAGAACACUUCAGCUUUGCAUUAAGACAAUGACUGUAAUCAAAUUUCAUGCUUCAGACAGUUGCCUGCAGGGGUCAGGAAGGAUCUUUUUUCACCAAUGCAAAAUUAGCCAGGUGGAUUCUGUGGGAGUGGGGUUCCCCCUUCUUCUGAAGCAUCAGAGAUGCCCACAACUGAAAAGAGGACACUAGACAGGCUGCACCAGUGUGGUGAGGUGGUACAAAGAAUCCUCUUUCUCAGAUGCCUGGCUGGUAGGUCUUGCUCACAUGGUCAGGGUCCAGCUGAUGGCCAGAGUUGGGAUCAGGAAAGAAUUUCCCCCAGGUCAGAUUGGCGGAGACCUUGGGAGGGUUUUGCCUUCUUCUGCAGAAUGAAGAUCAUUUGCUAGGAUCAUCUGGGCAUGCCUCACCUAAUCUAUUCCCUGCCAUUGCAGCAGCUACUGGUGGCACCUUGGUCUGUCCUGUUUUCUGCAUGUGGCACACAACUGGAUGAAAUUUAAUGGAGGUUAAACUCGAUGAUGUAAUGGUCCCUUUUGGCCUUGAACCCUAUCAAAGUAUGUAAAGCACUAAAGUCCCACGACAGCAGCAGGGUUGUCUCCCUCCCAUCUCACAAGAAGAGAUUCUGAUACACAGAUAUAUUCGGUUUCCACAGUGCCCUUGCCUCCUGCACACACUCCCACACCAUUAUAUUUUCUGAGGCUCAAUGCUGCGCACUGUCUCUUCAUGGUAAAUCUAAUGGAGUCAUUCAGAAAUGCCAAGAAAAGACAGCCUAGCAGAGACACAUCACCUGCAAACAGGGCCCGAGAUCUACUGAGACAAAACGGUUUUCAAAAACCCAACAUGAAGACUGUACAAUGAAAACCCACCUCUGAUCUUUGCCUGCAUCUCCCCAAGCAGCCGAAGAAACACCUUUCAUGCUGAGUUUUUGUCUUUUUCUUUCUGUCUUCUGUGAAUAUUUUUAUCCUGAUUUUUUUUUGUCAUCCCAUGCAGCAAAAGAAACUGCUCAUCUUUGCUCUGCCUAUUUGAUGUGGUAGAAAAGCCAAAGAGACAAUCUGUAAAAGUGCUUUCUCCGUUUGCUAGAUUUUUUUUUCCUAUACAGACUGUGAGUCGGAGAAAGAGGUCAGGGACUCAGGUUUCUCUUUGUUUUUUGUGCCCAGCUGCUGUUCCUGUGUUAAAGCGCGAGGUCCAGAUAAAUAAGGGAAUGGAAACAGAGGCAAUCUAUUCAAAAUAAAAGGUCUGUCCCCAAAAGUCUGGGGAGAUAGAGGAUCUAUUGUGCCCUGGGCAGUAUUCAAGGAAUCUUUUGCAAUCUUGAUGCUGGAGCUACGAUACCCAGUGACUUACUGUGCCCUUACCAGAGGGAUCAUCCAAGAUCUGAGCUGCUUCACAAGGAUCCCAGCUUAAGUCUUAUUUGAGUGCCACUCUGCCGGGGACCUUGUCCAAGGGGAGGAGGAGCUCCUUGCGACUAUCCAGAGCCACCCAGAGUAACUCAGACAGUAUCAACCUGAGCCCCAAAAGGAGGGCAGUGACAGUGCUGAUGAAUGUGGCAAGGAUGAUAGAGGUAGACCUUGGAGAUGCAGAGGAGGCUUUGGAUGGAUAAGAGAGAGCUCUGAGCUGUGAAAGUCAGACCUAGAUUGGAACCUUCCCGUAGUCUGAGAGUACUGGAAUCUAUUCUUUAGGCUUUGACAAUUGUCAUGAUAGGGGCCAACUGUAAUAUUCAGAUCUGGAGCCAAAAUUUCCCCAAAAGCCUGGGGGGGGGGUUGGUUUGGGCCCACCUGUAAUGUAGAUGGGGGGGAGGGAUAGCUCAGUGGUUUGAGCAUUGGCCUGCUAAACCCAGGGUUGUGAGUUCAAUCCUUGAGGGGGCCAUUUAGGGAUCUGGGGCAAAAAAAAUUGGAGAUUGGUCCUGCUUUGAGCAGGGGGUUGGACUAGAUGACCUCCUGAGGUCCCUUCCAACUCUGACAUUCUAUGAUGACUUUUCCUGGAAAUUAUAGCUAAGGAAAGGGAAAUCUGCAGAUGCCUGGGUCAAAUCUCAUGUUUCAGAGCAAAAGGAGCUGAUCGCUCCAGAGGUCAAGAAGGAACUCUCUGCUCCACCCCUUUGCAUAACUGGCUGGAAACAUUAUGGGUUAGGCUUUUAUCCUUGCUGUUCCUCAGAAGCAUCUGGGUAUUGUCCACUGCCCCAGAGUCAGGCUAUUGGACUAGAUGGGCUGAUGAGGUAGAGGAGUGUCUCUGGCAGGCCCCUCCUGCUUUUGAUGAGGUCAAACACUAUUAUGGGCACUCACUCCGUUUGUUCGAAAGGGAUCAAGGAAAGCAACUGCACUGUUGUCAGUUAAUAAGACAGCUGGGCUUUGUCUCCAUGCGUGAAAGCCUGGUGUGGAAUGGACUGAUUUAGCAAGGGAGUAAGCAAUUAUGAGAACAGAGAAGCUGGUUACAUCCAAUGUAUAAAGCAGGAGUGGCCAAACUUACUGACCCUCCAAACCACAUACAGUAAUCUUCAGAAGUUCAAGAGCCUCAAGACACGCACAAGGCACCACGUGGCGGCACUUGCUGGGGCACGGAGCUAAAGCCCUUAGACUCUCCUCCUCCCCCCGCAGGGAAGAAGCCCCUAGUCCCACCACCCCACUGCAGGGCAGAAGCCCUGAGUUCCCCUCUCCCCCCCCUCCACCCCCCGCCCCGCAGUCUGGAAGGAAGAGAAUUAUGUGGGGGGCAUGGGAGGCUCCGCAAGUCGCACUUUAAUUGUAAUAGAGUCACGAGCCACAGUUUGGCCAUGGCUGGUAUAAAGAGCUUUGAAAACCAAGAGAGCAAUUUGAAUGUGGGCUUUGUAGCUGGCUAAGGGUAGGGUGUGUACCAGCUUUCUUGAGUGGGAUGUGAGUCUUGCCACAGAUUUCUACAUCAGUGGGAGCUGCAAGUUUUCAGCACCUUUGAAAAAUCAGGCCAGUUUUUAGUCUCCUAAAUACGGAUCUAGGGGCCUAAUUUUAGACAGCCACGUUUGAAAAUAUUGGCCCUAGAACACAGAGUUCAGGCUGAAUUUGAAGGGUGGCUCUCACAUGGGUUCUUCCAUCACUACCAUGUGAGAUUAGUGCUUGCAUCCAAUAGGCACUGAGCCACAACCAGCAAACACAUCCAGUCUGCCAGCUGGACUUCAACCAGACAUCCAAAGGUGAAAUCUUAUCUCCAUGCUUGAGAGAACACAGGAGGAGGUGCAGAUGGUCUCUAUAAACCAUUGCAGGAAACAAAGUACACUCGAUAAGGGGAAAGGGAAGAAGAUGACGAAAAUGGCUAAUGCCAACGAUUGUGUUAAAGACUUUGACCGUGCCUUAUGGGAGACUGCAUAGUUAAAAUAUAAAUAAACUGACUUUAAAACAUCCAGGCUGGAACAGUAGCUGCUGAGCUGAAUUUAAAUCACCUUCUGUAGCUGUUGGAAUGUUUAGCACUGUAGGGGAGAGGGGUGUUUUUUUUUUCCUAUUACAUAAUUUUCUUUUCAAAUCUCUGGAGCAGCAUAUUUAAUUUAUUUUUUUUUAAAAAAGCCACCUGAGAUGCCCACACCUCUUUUCAAUAUUUUACAAGUAACAUGAAAGACGACAUAGGUUCGAGAAGGGGAGCUAAUAACCCAAAUUGUCCUUGAUAGCCCUCUUCAAGCAGUCCUUUGCCUUUAUCUGAAAACCUGAACAUUUUCAAAGAAAAAAUGUUGGUGAAAACAAAAUAUUUAUCAAAAAGUUUCCACAUGUGUGCAGGGGGUGCACCUGGGAAAGGGUGUGUAAUUAUUUCCUAGUUCUAAACUAUCCUCUUCCAAUGGACUUAUACAUAUUAUGUGAUCGACCAUGCAACCAUUGUGUUGGCAAGUACUUAUAAGAGAAGUCCCAUUGACUUGAGUGGGACUACUUUUAUGAGUAACUGAUAACAAACAACUGCAACUCAGCAGCACAAGGUCUAUGUACCAUAUAAGUUCUAUUAUGAGGACUUAACUGAUGCAUUGGCUUUGUUCUGAUCCCCGGCUAAGAAGGAAUGUCACCCCAUUCUGACCAAGAGCUGCGCCAUCUAAAUCUAUAUAUAGUUCAGCAUCUUUAGAUCAGCCCUUGACAAUGUUAGAUUUAGUAUUAAUUUCAUAGUAUGUUUAUGCCUCCAGCGGAUGCAAGACAAUCCUAAAGCCCUUUUCCCCCUUCCAAAAUGGUAUAUGAGACAAAUAAAUCUACAGGACUCUCUUA